AGGGAUUGAAAAUUUUGAAGCUAAGGUUCGUGUUGGUAAGUUGACGUAUGCAGCUGAAGUUUACUUGGGUCAAGUCGAGGAGACCUGUGGGUGACCUGUACAUGCAGGACCAUGUUAGCCUUUAAUUUAGGUAGAUAUCACUAAAUUCCCGUAUGGGUGUCUGCCAUAUAUCUCUCCAGGGCCUCAUUGUUCUUCUUUU
rnacentral:lncRNA from 1 species